rnacentral:lncRNA from 10 species
GCGCAGUGCGGGGAUCCCCGCUUCAGUCGGCAGAGAGAGAGCUCGCGGGUGGUUCCGGUCCGGCUUUUCAGGCCGGACGGGUGCCUGCCCCUCAGGUGCGAGUUUGUGCGGUAAAGAACACACCCCGGAGAUGUGGACACGGCCGCCCCAGGAGGGUCCUUGUUUGGAGACUUACCUUCAAUCUGUUCAGUCUCCAUCCACCCCUCUCCGCCUCUGCAUGGGGAUAAAGGUGGAAAUCAACGAGAACUUGCCCGCCAGAAAAACAUGAAGAAAACCCAGGAAAUUAGCAAGGGAAAGAGGAAAGAGGAUAGCUUGACUGCCUCUCAGAGAAAGCAGAGUUCUGGAGGCCAGAAAUCUGAGAGCAAGAUGUCAGCUGGGCCACACCUCCCUCUGAAGGCUCCAAGGGAGAAUCCUUGCUUUCCUCUUCCAGCUGCUGGUGGCUCCAGGUAUUACUUGGCUUAUGGCAGCAUAACUCCUAUCUCUGCCUUUGUCUUUGUGGUCUUCUUUUCUGUCUUCUUCCCUUCUUUUUAUG